GUAAGGAGAUAUAUGGAUUUUAUGUACUAAGAAACUAGUGAAAAGGAUCCCGCUGGCAAAGCAGUUUGAGCUCUGCCUGUGAAGGGUGAGGUUAUGUCCGGGGUUGACUUGAGGCAGCGAUGGCCGAAAGAAGGGCGAGGGGAGCUCAAACCGAGGGACUUCAUGUAGGAAAAGAUGCUGAGGGAGAAAGUGGGCCGUGCCCCAGCGAGAAGUAAUCGAUGUGCUGGACGUCUUUGUGAAGAACAAAAGUGGUUUAAAAACGUCAGGCUCGUCCGCUCACCCUCCCUGUCGGAGAAACUUACUACCCCGGGAGAUUGACCGGCAUCCUCCUUAAAGAUCAGCAAAAAGGAUUUUCAGCAGCAGCUUUAUCACAGGUGACAUUAGACUUGAAUUACAGGGAAGAACAAAAACAACGUAUGUUCUUCUGUCGUGCCCUCGUCAUCCUAUGUGCCUGAGGGACUCUAGCUCAGCUUGUAACAUCACCUUAAAAAGGCUGGAUGCGAGGAGUUAAGAUUUAUGGUAUGGCAGCGCCAAUAAAGUGCUCAUACAUAGAGGAAAUUACACAACAAGAAACGUAUCCCUGCGCCGGUGAAGUGCGCAUAAUGUAGACAAUGCGUUGUAAGAAACAGGCAAUGGACGUGAGCUCCUGAGCUUGCUUUCUGUUUCCAAGUAUCUACAUCUAUAUCAAGAGCUCAUUGCACGUGAAACCUGUUAUCAUGCAAAUGCGCUGAGCAGUUUGUAAAGGCAGCAACAUCCUGGUUUCCCUGGUCACGCUGAGUGGAUUUAUCCGCCGUUGUAAUGAGAAUGAAUGCUCUUUGUCAGAGACAGUAUGUGGAGAGAAGAUUUGGGAACUCCAAGCAGAAGCUGUGAUGAGAAAUGACUGUUGUGCUCAACUAUGACAAGAAGAAGCUUGCAAGUGCUCCCACGUCUUGGUGCGAGGCGUCUGCUGUGCAUGGAGAUGGUGUCUCUGCCAGCCCACUCGCCUGCAGCUGCUGUUUGGUGUUCCUGAGGGUCUUCUGAGGUGAUCAUGCUGCUCAGCGGCUUCCUCUGCUGUAUCCCCGAUAUUGCCGAGGCUGUUGCCCUUUUGGGUAGGUGUCAAGCUAGAGUGUCUGCUGGUCACUGAUUCUCAGUGAUGGCAAAUCCUGUUCCUCAAAGACCUUCUUCCACUGAGCUUUGUGGCUUUCUAGGUAAAUGUUGCAGUGAUUAUGAGUUGCAGUGGAGUAAAGUGUAGUUAGAAGCAUUCUCUCAAAAUUUCAUUUUAAAUGAUGUCCUGUUGCUUUGGACUAACUCCUAGUUAAACUGGAACAAUCUUCUUUAUUUCUAAUUGCAGGAUCUUUUUUUGUUCUCCUCUGGAGUUAAUCUUCAAGAAUAUACAUGUCACUGUUCACGAAUCUCUUAUUUUGGUCCACUUCGUUUCUGUUUACAGCAAUACCAGAGACCCCAGUCAAGGUCUUCUGGAGCUAUGUUGAACAAAUACAGGGGAGUGUAUGAUCCCUGCCCCACUUUGGAAUAAUACACGUCAAACACUGAAGGUUUCUGCUCACUUGAAACAAAGUUAAAAUACCAUUUGCACCUAUUUACUAGACCUUCCAGAAAAUGCAGGAAAGAAACAGGCCUGAAAUAAAUUUGAAACAAUUAAGUCCAAACCAAACAAGUUCUAAACUACCAGCAAGUGAAAACAAAAGAGAUCUUUACAGUGAAAGAUGAUGCCCUCUUGGUGUCUCCAUUUGCAAGUCACUUCUGUUCUAAGUUUGAUUCAUGAGGCACAGCCAAGCUCGGCAGCUCAGGACGGGCACAACAGGAAUUUGCCGCGAGCAUCUGUCUGAAGAUGAUGUCAUUCCCCUCACUGGUGUAGGGGAAAGGACAAACUUGCGUGAAAGGUGAGGUGAGGAUGGCACACCCCAUUUCAGGCGCAUUCAAAAUGAAAACUGUCAUGACAUCAAUUAACACAAAUUUCCUGUAAUUAAAAGUUGUACUUUACUGUAUGCCUAAAGGCUCCAAAACAGCAAAGUGUUCAAGGUCAUUUCUGUGGUUAAACACUGCAGAUGGUAAACUCAACACAAAGGUUAUCUUUAAUAAAGAACCAGUCUGUACAUCUUA